AUUCAACAAUAUACCUGAGAGCUUACUGCCACAAGACACUCAUGAGAGCUAGCAUUUAUGGUGGAUACUCUAUAUGCCAGGCACAGGGCGCCACGUAUUUUCCCUCGACAGUAACUUGGCAAGCUUUUCAUGUCACUCUGGCAUCGCUCAGAUUAUCAGCUACCCUUCAGAAAAAGAGCCCUGCGUUUCGAUGGCUAAGGAACUCUGACAGGAAGAGGAGAGGUCCCGACUAGAGGAGGGGGCAGCAUUCAUCUUUUGGCACCGGUGAGUCAGUUUGCGAAGUUGGCGGCAGCGAGACCCCGAGGCAUCUGGGAGACCCCGGAGUUCUGACUGCCCUACUCCGCUUUCGUUUCCUUCCCCCCACCCCUGGCUUCCCGGGUAUUGGAAGCCAGCUGGGUCCCCGGGGUCGCAGGCCGCCCAGAGGUUCGAGCCGCGCGCCGGGGUGGGGCAGCGCGGGGCACCGCCUCCCUCCAUACCUUCUCUCCCCGUGGAGCACAUAGGAGCUGCGGAAGAAGCCCAGGAGCUCAUUCUCGAUGAGCGCGUUGUAGAUAAUCUUCAGAUUGUAAUUCCUCUGCGCGUCCA
rnacentral:lncRNA from 10 species